CAACCUGUAUGUACAUGAUUAAUGAUCUCUCUUUGAUCAAGCUUCUACAUGCAUUGCCACUGCAAGUUCUGCUUCGUAUAGUUAUGUUCAGGCAUCUGGAUUGCACAUGGCUGCAGAAUGGAUCUCCUGAGGCUGAGCUGUGCUAGAGGGAGGGAGGAGAUUUGCUGCUGAAGUGCUGGUGCCGAUCGUCGUUCCCCUGGGAAGACGUGCAGCAAGGAACAGGUUUCAAAUAGAGUGUGUCUUCAGCAAAAUCGGGCUGCCAGAUGGGGCCUGAGGCCCUCGCUCUGCCCAGGCUCCAGAAAGGCAUCGCUCCAGAGCCAGUCAGCACUGUGAAUUAUGAAUACGUUGGCCAUGUCACUCUAUUUAGGACCUGUACUCUGGAGUUAGAUGUUGCAUGAAUAAAACAUAUUUUCCAUAC